GCACAGAAAGAGCAGCUCCUCCAACUGCAGAGGGAUCUGUGUUCAUUUUCUGAUUCAGCUCAGUGUGAGUCGGGAUGUAUUUGACCCCUCCUGAAUGUGAUGCUGCAGCCAGGUCUGGCUGUGAUACGGACGGACCACACAAACGUGCAACUCUUCCCAUUCAAUGGAAAUUAUUUUUCACUUUUUGCAUGGCUAAUGGCACUCAACUGAUGAAAAUCUACUUAAAUAUGGAUGAAAUUCAUCUUAAACAGCCUUGGAGAGAACACCGUCAGCAUACAGAUCUGUAUAAACUACUGAAUUGUCUUCUGCUGGACUUCGAGGCAAUGGAGCUGUUUGGAGUGUACUUCAGUACAGAAUCUGUCCUACAUUUCAGACACAGAUCUUAAACAGUUUUAUCUUAGGAACAUAUUUUCGCAUUCUUAAUUGAAGAAAAACUCCCACUGACUUCACCACGAAUAGAAGCGGGCCUGAGAAGGGCACUACUCUUGCUUAUCAGCACAUUAUAGGAAUGCUGUCAAUUAAUUACACCAUAUCAGCUGCUUGGCUGUAGAUAGUGUACAUGGUGUGCUUUUCACUUACUGAUUUACAGUCAGUAGGAGGAGGUCACAGCAAUAGAAUAGGAACAAAUCAAAGUUAAACAUGGACAUGGAAAUUUCUCUCUGUUUUCAAGACCGUCAAUUCUGUGUGCACUGGGCAUGAACUGGGACUGUGGUGAUGAAAUGCAAGAGCAAUGCCUGCUACUGGCUUGUAACACAGCAUUCUAUUCAAUGUAAAUGAUAGGCAUCCUACAAGAGCUAGAAUCUAAAAUAGAGCAAAUGUUGUCACAUCAUUUCAGAGAUUAAACGGAUGGAAGAGUACCCAACUCCAAAUGGAAACUAAGGAACAUGACAUACUGCCAACCAGUACUUGGCAAAACAAAUUAUAAUAAUAUGGAAAUACUGUUGCACAUCACUAAUAAAUGUUGCUCACAAGAAUAUUAAUAAAUACUCUGUGAUU
rnacentral:lncRNA from 7 species